rnacentral:rRNA from 1 species
CGAGAGCCUGACGAAGCAACGCCGCGUGUGGGAAGGAGGCUCUUGGGCUGUCAACCACUUUUCUCAGGGAAGAAGUCCUGACGGUACCUGGGGAAUCAGCCUCGGCUAACUCCGUGCCAGCAGCCGCGGUAAUACGGAGGAGGCAAGCGUUAUCCGGAAUUAUUGGGCGUAAAGCGUCCGCAGGGGGCGCAUCAAGUCUGCUGUUAAAGGUCGGAGCUAAACUCCGGUAGAGCAGUGGAAACUGGUGCGCUAGAGGGCGACAGGGGUAGAGGGAAUUCCCAGUGUAGCGGUGAAAUGCGUAGAGAUUGGGAAGAACACCGGUGGCGAAAGCGCUCUACUGGGUCGCACCUGACCCUCAGGGACGAAAGCUAAGGUAGCG